CCUACGGGAGGCUGCAGUGAGGAAUAUUGGUCAAUGGGCGGGAGCCUGAACCAGCCAAGUCGCGUGAGGGAUGACGGCCCUAUGGGUUGUAAACCUCUUUUGUCGGGGAGCAAAGCGCCGCACGUGUGCGGGUCGGAGAGUACCCGCAGAAAAAGCAUCGGCUAACUCCGUGCCAGCAGCCGCGGUAAUACGGAGGAUGCGAGCGUUAUCCGGAUUUAUUGGGGUUAAAGGGUGCGGUGGUUGUUUUUUAAUGCAGCGGUGAAAGUUCGGGGCUCAACCAUGAAAUUGCCGUUGAAACUGGAAGACUUGAGUGUGUGUGAGGUAGGCGGAAUGCGUGGUGUAGCGGUGAAAUGCAUAGAUAUCACGCAGAACUCCGAUUGCGAAGGCAGCUUACUAGGCCAUAACUGACGCUGAGGCACGAAAGCGUGGGGAUCAAACAGGAUUAGAUACCCCGGUAGUC
rnacentral:rRNA from 1 species